CUAGUAACAUCCAAGUGUCAUGGCCUUUCCUGAUUGCAGAUAAGCUCAUCAUAAACACAUCUCAAGGAUGGAGCAUAAGGAGACUUACUAAUGAGCCUGAAGUUGCUAACAGAUUCUGAUGGCAGACAUGACAAUUAGUAUACUAUCGUCAUAAACAGAGCGAUUCCAUUAUCAACUGACUUCAACAGAAAAAGCAUAAAUAAAUCAGUUUGAUGCAAUUGCCAGCCCAUUUUCAAAGGCCACCUGACAACUUGGCCAUAAGCAGAACAUAAAGCAAUUGCGUUAUAAAAGAUGCAAAGGAUUUCCUAAUGGAGGGAUUCCCAUAGAUCUCAA